rnacentral:rRNA from 1 species
GACGAACGCUGGCGGCGUGCCUAAUACAUGCAAGUAGAACGCACAGUUUAUACCGUAGCUUGCUACACCAUAGACUGUGAGUUGCGAACGGGUGAGUAACGCGUAGGUAACCUGCCUGGUAGCGGGGGAUAACUAUUGGAAACGAUAGCUAAUACCGCAUAAUAUUAAUUAUUGCAUGAUAAUUAAUUGAAAGGUGCAAUUGCACCACUACCAGAUGGACCUGCGUUGUAUUAGCUAGUAGGUGAGGUAACGGCUCACCUAGGCGACGAUACAUAGCCGACCUGAGAGGGGGAUCGACCACACUGGGACUGAGACACGGCCCAGACUCCUACGGGAGGCAGCAGUAGGGAAUCUUCGGCAAUGGACGAAAGUCUGACCGAGCAACGCCGCGUGAGUGAAGAAGGUUUUCGGAUCGUAAAGCUCUGUUGUAAGAGAAGAACGGGUGUGAGAGUGGAAAGUUCACACUGUGACGGUAUCUUACCAGAAAGGGACGGCUAACUACGUG